CAGAAUGCUACGGUGAAUACGUUCCCGGGCCUUGUACACACCGCCCGUCACACCAUGGGAGUGGGUUGCAAAAGAAGUAGGUAGCUUAACCUUCGGGGAGGGCGCUUACCACUUUUGUGAUUCAUGACUKGGGGUGAAGUCGUAACAAGGUAACCSGUAGGGGAACCUGCGGUUGGAUCACCUCCUUA
rnacentral:rRNA from 1 species